UGGGAUGUAGCUCAGUGGUAGAGUGUUUGCCUUAGCAUAUGUGAGGACCUGGGUUCUAUCCCCAGCACCGCAA
rnacentral:tRNA from 1 species